ACGAACGCUGGCGGUGUGCUUAACACAUGCACGUCGAACGGAAAGGCCCUGCUUUUGUGGGGUGCUCGAGUGGCGAACGGGUGAGUAACACGUGAGUAACCUGCCCUUGACUUUGGGAUAACUUCAGGAAACUGGGGCUAAUACCGGAUAGGAGCUCCUGCUGCAUGGUGGGGGUUGGAAAGUUUCGGCGGUUGGGGAUGGACUCGCGGCUUAUCAGCUUGUUGGUGGGGUAGUGGCUUACCAAGGCUUUGACGGGUAGCCGGCCUGAGAGGGUGACCGGCCACAUUGGGACUGAGAUACGGCCCAGACUCCUACGGGAGGCAGCAGUGGGGAAUAUUGCACAAUGGGCGGAAGCCUGAUGCAGCAACGCCGCGUGCGGGAUGACGGCCUUCGGGUUGUAAACCGCUUUCGCCUGUGACGAAGCGUGAGUGACGGUAAUGGGUAAAGAAGCACCGGCUAACUACGUG
rnacentral:rRNA from 1 species